CGGAAUCGACGGCGGGACUGGGCUCUGUGGCUUGAUCCGUGUGUGUGUGUGUACACGCAGUCAAAUACACAUAAAACACACAUACACGUACAUGCUAAAAGAUUUUGAUGACGUUUACAAACGUUAUAGCUGACUUUAACUUUUUAUAGCUACAGUUAGCACACCUUAAAAAGUAAAGUCACUAUACCUUCUGAGAGCACAUCGCAACUCUUGCUAGCCAUGAGCCUUGAAAUCUUUUGGAUGAAGAAGAGGAAGCAAAUAAAGAGAAUCAAGGCACUAUGACCGAAAAUUCAACUAAUGCGCAAGUAAUAAAAGGAAACCAAACAUCCAAAAAAGGAAGCCAAAGAAAUAUAAAAUAGCGGAAAAAUUCGAGCUUAACAUAGGACACAAGAGAUAUGAAGAGCUGGACGAAGACACGAUCUAUUUAGGGUUAGAUGUCUCAGUAGACAAAGAAAUAUGGAGAGAAAUGAAUAAGAG